UCAGCAAUAGAUAUAGGAGAUGUAUUCUAGAAAAAAUCAAAACUCUUAAACCAAAAUUGUAGCCCAAGAAACUAAUCAAGAAGCGUCUAAGCUAAACAUCUCUUAUAUCUCUCCUUGCCUUCACCCAAGACUAUAAAUGUUGAAGCAGUAAGACAUCCUGCUCACAGAGGGCUGCACUUACUGAGAGAGACAUGGAUAUAUUGAAGAUAGUGUUGAUUCAUAUCCCGCAGGAAAAAUUGAAGAGGGCUGUCUGCCCAUCACUGACAGGAGCAGAGAUCUCAGACUGCAUGCUUUUCCCAUCACUGGCUCUCUGCCUGCAUGCCUGACCUAUUGAUGUCCAUGGUGAUCUGUGCAGAGACUUGGACAGAAAUGAACACUGUCUCUUGACAUUGGGACCCUCCAUUUGGACCUCUGGGAAGAGGGUACCAAGCACGCUUGUGCAUGCAGGGAAUCUGCAGCACAUCAGAUAAUCUGUCUCCUCUGCAGUGUUUGUGUGAAGCCAUCUCUUGGAGUCGGUGUGCGGGGAGCACAGAGCCGCCAGAGGGAGCGAGAGCACCGAGCAAGGCAGCUCGGGAUCCCAGCCAGGAGGAGAAAUCACCCCGGCCGGCUCAUUAUCUACGUGGUUGCGUUUAGAUGGAGAAACCUCAAAAAAAU